AGUAGAUACAACACAACAUUACUGGGGCUAGGUGAGAGUAGAUACAACACAACAUUACUGGGGCUAGGUGAGAGUAGAUACAACACAACAUUACUGGGGCUAGGUGAGAGUAGAUACAACACAACAUUACUGGGGCUAGGUGAGAGUAGAUACAA